rnacentral:rRNA from 1 species
AGACAGGUGGUGCAUGGUUGUCGUCAGCUCGUGUCGUGAGAUGUUGGGUUAAGUCCCGCAACGAGCGCAACCCUUAUUGCUAGUUACCAUCAUUAAGUUGGGGACUCUAGCGAGACUGCCAGUGAUAAACUGGAGGAAGGUGGGGAUGACGUCAAAUCAUCAUGCCCCUUAUGACCUGGGCUACAAAACGUGAUACAAUGGCUGAAACAAAGGGCAGCGAAGGAGCGAUCUGGAGCGAAACCCAAAAAAGCAGUCUCAGUUCGGAUUGAAGUCUGCAACUCGACUUCAUGAAGUCGGAAUCGCUAGUAAUCGCGGAUCAGAACGCCGCGGUGAAUACGUUCUCGGGGUUU